GCCAGCGUGGUGUAGUGUUUGGGUGUUGGACUACCACUCUGGAGAUCUGAGUUCGAUUCCCUGCUCUGCCA